GAUGAACGCUGGCGGCGUGCCUAAUACAUGCAAGUCGAGCGAACAGAUGAGGAGCUUGCUCCUCUGACGUUAGCGGCGGACGGGUGAGUAACACGUGGAUAACCUACCUAUAAGACUGGGAUAACUUCGGGAAACCGGAGCUAAUACCGGAUAAUAUAUUGAACCGCAUGGUUCAAUAGUGAAAGACGGUUUUGCUGUCACUUAUAGAUGGAUCCGCGCCGCAUUAGCUAGUUGGUAAGGUAACGGCUUACCAAGGCAACGAUGCGUAGCCGACCUGAGAGGGGGAGCGGCCACACUGGAACUGAGACACGGUCCAGACUCCUACGGGAGGCAGCAGUAGGGAAUCUUCCGCAAUGGGCGAAAGCCUGACGGAGCAACGCCGCGUGAGUGAUGAAGGUCUUCGGAUCGUAAAACUCUGUUAUUAGGGAAGAACAAAUGUGUAAGUAACUAUGCACGUCUUGACGGUACCUAAUCAGAAAGCCACGGCUAACUACGUG
rnacentral:rRNA from 1 species